GUGAGAAAGAAGUACCCUGGAGCUGGUCCUUUCCGUUCUGCCGCCCUAGGGGAAACCAAAAAAUGCUGCCCCCUGCAAAACUAGAAUAAUCCCCGAUGUUGAAAAGGCGUGUUUUCUGGACGUUGAAAAAUAUGUAUUUUCCGGACGUUGAAUUCAGCGAUGAGUCUCUCCAACAGCACCCUGGAGAGGCACGCUGGGAAUGAGGAAGCAAAAUAUUGUUCGCCCCUACCUUUGACAAAGUGGGCACUGCUUAUCACAGGGUGGAAUCAGCGAUCACCUAAAUAUCCCACUGGUUGAGAGAAAUUGUCAUUGUUUUGGGGCAGAAUUAUGUGAGGUUUUAUGUAUUGUUGCCGCCCUCGUCAAUCUAGCCUAAUCCCGCCUAAUGAGCGGGCAGAUGGCUGUGCGCUGGAGGCGGGGGACACGAAGGGUAAUAUUUCGAUAAUGAUAGCUAUUUUAUCUUCUUUUAAACUGAGUCCCAGCCACAAUCACCUCAUAACCUGUCUGUCAUUGAGCCAUCUUCUGCCACAGGACAGAAAUGACAAAUAAAAGUCACCCAGCUAAUUGUAAACAGAUGGUCCCCAUGCUGACACAGGUUUACCACAGAGACCUACUGCACAUUUUAGUAAUGACGGGUCAUCUCUCUACAUCCUAUUGACUUUAGAGGAACUCAGCCCUUUCCAUUGUAGAUACCCAGUCUAACCCCAAAGUCUGCCCGCUCUACCUCACGCCUAACCUAGCCUACCUACAGUACAUAACCACUAUCUGCCCCCCCCCCCUUCCCCCACAACAAAUGAAAAACAAAACUACGACACAUUCUGUGAAAACAUGUUUCUACCUGCUCUAGUUAAUCUUUUGCUUGUAGGCCUAUAAUGUAAUAUAUAUUUAUGGAAAUAUUGCUGUAAUUUUCUGAUGGAAAUGCAAAUAAAAUGUUUGUAUAAUUUAGAACUUGUGUAGAUCAAUGUAAAUGGGAUUUACCUGUAUAAAUA
ensembl:lncRNA